GACGAACGCUGGCGGCGUGCUUAACACAUGCAAGUCGAACGAAGAGCGAUGGAAGCUUGCUUCUAUCAAUCUUAGUGGCGAACGUGUGAGUAACGCGUAAUCAACCUGCCCUUCAGAGGGGGACCACAGUUGGAAACGACUGCUAAUACCGCAUACGCUCUAAUCUCGGCAUCGAGGAUAGAUGAAAGGUGGCCUCUACAUGUAAGCUAUCACUGAAGGAGGGGAUUGCGUCUGAUUAGCUAGUUGGAGGGGUAACGGCCCACCAAGGCGAUGAUCAGUAGCCGGUCUGAGAGGAUGAACGGCCACAUUGGGACUGAGACACGGCCCAGACUCCUACGGGAGGCAGCAGUGGGGAAUCUUCCGCAAUGGACGAAAGUCUGACGGAGCAACGCCGCGUGAGUGAUGACGGCCUUCGGGUUGUAAAGCUCUGUUAAUCGGGACGAAAGGCCUUCUUGCGAAUAGUGAGAAGGAUUGACGGUACCGGAAUAGAAAGCCACGGCUAACUACGUG
rnacentral:rRNA from 1 species